GAUGUGGAAACGCCUAGUCCUGUCACCACGCCCGAGUCCUUCAGUACAAACCGCUUGGCAGGAGCGGGGGACCCAACUUUGGGCCUUCUCUUCACGAAAAGGUCCUUGGGGUUAAGUCUCCACGCACGCGCCCGCAAGGUCGGGUGACAACCGUGGAGGCCGGGUGAUCUACCUCCACCCGAACCCGACAGCUCACCUCGUAGGCGCUGGAGGUUCA
rnacentral:sRNA from 2 species